rnacentral:rRNA from 1 species
GAUUUGAUCCUGGCUCAGAUUGAACGCUGGCGGCAUGCCUUACACAUGCAAGUCGAACGGCAGCACGGGAGCUUGCUCCUGGUGGCGAGUGGCGAACGGGUGAGUAAUGCAUCGGAACGUAUCCUGGAGUGGGGGAUAACGUAGCGAAAGUUACGCUAAUACCGCAUAUUCUGUGAGCAGGAAAGCGGGGGACCUUCGGGCCUCGCGCUCUUGGAGCGGCCGAUGUCGGAUUAGCUAGUUGGUGAGGUAAAGGCUCACCAAGGCGACGAUCCGUAGCAGGUCUGAGAGGAUGAUCUGCCACACUGGAACUGAGACACGGUCCAGACUCCUACGGGAGGCAGCAGUGGGAAUUUUGGACAAUGGGGGCAACCCUGAUCCAGCCAUGCCGCGUGAGUGAAGAAGGCCUCGGUUGUAAGGU